AAUGAGGUACAUCAACCUCAUUUACCGGAAGGAAACCCUUCCGGUCAACAAGGCAAGGUGCCUUGUUGAUCAGAAAGGUUUCCUUCCGGUCAACGAGGUACAUGUACCUCAUU
rnacentral:miRNA from 1 species